UGGGGAAUAUUGGACAAUGGGCGAAAGCCUGAUCCAGCCAUGCCGCGUGUGUGAAGAAGGCCUUUUGGUUGUAAAGCACUUUAAGUGGGGAGGAAAAGCUUAUGGUUAAUACCCAUAAGCCCUGACGUUACCCACAGAAUAAGCACCGGCUAACUCUGUGCCAGCAGCCGUGGUAAUACAGAGGGUGCAAGCGUUAAUCGGAAUUACUGGGCGUAAAGCGCGCGUAGGUGGUUAUUUAAGUCAGAUGUGAAAGCCCCGGGCUUAACCUGGGAACUGCAUCUGAUACUGGAUAACUAGAGUAGGUGAGAGGGGAGUAGAAUUCCAGGUGUAGCGGUGAAAUGCGUAGAGAUCUGGAGGAAUACCGAUGGCGAAGGCAGCUCCCUGGCAUCAUACUGACACUGAGGUGCGAAAGCGUGGGUAGCAAACAGGAUUAGAUACCCUGGUAGUCCACGCCGUAAACGAUGUCUACCAGUCGUUGGGUCUUUUAAAGACUUAGUGACGCAGUUAACGCAAUAAGUAGACCGCCUGGGGAGUACGGCCGCAAGGUUA
rnacentral:rRNA from 1 species